CUGGAAUCCUGGAACUCCACACAAAGGCACCUGUUGUCCUGACAACCCCUGAGGCGUAGGGGAGAAGCAGUGGGGAGGCCCUUCCAUUUUUCUAUCAUGUGUCUGUCAGGAGGGGAACAAGAUUACGAAAUUGUGAGCAAAUUUGCUUCAAAUCCCUUGUGGAACAAGGCAGGGUGCAAACAGCCAAAUAAAACACAAAUCACAGUGAUUUCUGUGCAUCACCUCUGGUGUUGCCUUAUGAAGGAUCUCCACGGAAGAAGGCUGAAGAAUCGGUUACACAGCUGCAUACAUCCAGGGGAAGUGGAAUGAUGGACAGGCACGAGAAACCCCAUGGAAGCACAUGGAAAUUGGAAAUGGGAUGAAUAAGACAUGGUUGCUGACUCAGUCUUACUGCGUGAUCAUGGACUAAUCACUUCACUGAGACUUGGCUUAUCUCAUUGGUAAAGUGAAAACUAUAGUUCUUCCUGAUAGGAAUGUUGUCAGGACCAAAUGAGAUAAUAGUUGAAAAA
rnacentral:lncRNA from 1 species